rnacentral:lncRNA from 1 species
AUUCAUUUACAUACCCACUGAGGAUUCUGAGCAGAAAUUACCCUUUGUUCUCAGGCAUAGAAUUCAGUGGGGUUACAAGUUAUAUCUAGACUUUGGCCCCUUCAAAUAGAAAGAGCUUUGUGAUGAUAUGUUGAAUGAUAUGUAAUCUCCACUUUUGUUAAGUAAAACCACAGGAUUUUCCUGCAGAAUCAUUUAUACGUGUCCUCAUCACGAGAACUGAAAAUUUGUCCAUUGUGAAGAUGUUCUUUGGUGAAAAUAUUUAAAAAGUAGUUCUGAGAUGUAAUUUGUGGCACCUGUAUUAAAAUACUCACCACACCCUUCCCUCCUAGUCCUUUUCCAGUCCUACCGCUUGAGCUCAGAGAAGGUGAAUGUCCUUCCCAAUGUCAAACAGCUGGUAGUUGAAGAAUAGCAACCUAGGUCUAGCCGAACCUACCACACUAUUUUACUACGCCUGUCUGGUCAGAGUGUCUUGCUGAGGGCUGCUGAUUGAAGUCUAGGUGUGUGAGGCAAGUUGUUCUGAGGUGACUAAAUGAGUAUUAAAUGCGAAGUGUGUGAUCUGCUGCUAAGCACCAUCUAGACUUUGCACACAGUCAUUUGGAUAGAAAAAAAUUAGACAACAAGUAUUAAACUUCAUACACAGGUACUAAAUCAAAUUGAGUUGCUAAAGAAUGGAAAGGGUUGAAUAGAGAAGGAUAAUAUUCCCCAAAGAACUUUCUAAAUCACUAGAGUGUCUUUUUCAAGCCAUAUUCUUAUCUCUUUCCACCCUUGCUCUGCAGUCUCCUCAAAGACCCUCUGCCAGGCAAUUUCAGAUGUAUUAUAAACAUACUCUUGUGAACAAGAGCAAUAAUUCUCCUCGAUGCGAGGCCCUGCUGUUGCUGACAAUCAGCCCCAGGUAGCCUUUCACUUACCAAUCGCCGUUGGCUCCAAAAUAAGUUUUGAAAAAAGUGAAUCGGAGCUUAGGAUCCAAAUGGUAAGUAAAAUGAAGGAAUGCUUGUGUUUUCACAGCUUGUGUUUUUGAGGUGGUCAAAAGUCACUGAGCUGACCCACCCACAAGAGCCCUCAUCAUUGCAUUCAUCUAUUAACAACCAUUUCUGUUUGAGUUCAGGCUGCUGACCUUUUCUCUAGAGUCAUGUUUGAAGAUUAGCCUUGUAGUCAGGCUAAUAGCAAUUCCUCCAAAAUAAACCACAACCUAUAUUUCCCUGUUAUGCUGUUUUAAAGUUUUCACUAGUUUAUUAAAGUUUUGACAUCUAGAAUCAGAACAUGCCUUAAAUAUUACAUCAAAAGCACCUAUUAAAAUGAACACUAUAGGGAUAUUAUGAUUUUUUAGAGAUGAUGUGAGUGGGCAAGAAGAUCUCCUCCCUAUGUGAAGGGUUUUCGGGUCUCUGGCAUACUUGGCUGGCCACUAAUAUCACUAGUAUUCACUGGAAAAGGACUAGGACUCAGGUUUAGUCUGACACCGAAAUUAAGUUUGAGAAAAAGGCUUUUAAUAUUUAAAGGCUUCUAAUAUCAUGCUAGGAAUUUACUAAAGAAAUUUUAGGUGGAUCUCUAUUCAGGGCAGAACCAUACCUAUAAGCAUUGGAUUAGAUUCUGGUCUGUGCGGCACUCUUCCUACCUUUCGGAGAUUUCCAUUCUUUUUUGGUAGAAAAUAUGAGGUCCUUGGAAAUGCAUGCAAUACAGAACAGUGGAAACAAUGAAUGAGUUGGAUGUCGCAGAGAACUUGGAGGAAAAAAGCUAUUUUGGGGUGGGUGGUGAGAAAGAUUCACGGGGGGAGGGGGUAUAAAAUAGAACUUAUAUUUCACUGAGUGGAGAUUUUCAUUUUAAAAUGAUUUGUGAACAGUCCUGUUUUAUAUGCCCUGUAUAUUUAAGAUAAAUACUGGAUACUGUGCACAAAGUUAAAUAUUGAAGUUUAGGAAGCACUGCUCUGAAAACAGAGAAUUACGGAAGAAUACCUAAGUACGCUGUGGAAUCAGUGAACACUUCCAAGUAAAAUGUUGUUUGUGCUGAGUUUUGAAAGGUGGGUAGGUCUUUAGCAAGUGGGCAGGAAUGCAAAAGCAUUUUAAGUCACCUUGAUAUCAAUUUUAAUACAUUCAGUUCACCAACUAAACAUAUGCUCAGGAGAAACUUAAGUAUUAGAUGAUCCAUUCACUGGAGGGAAACAUGCUAAUACUAUCUCUUUGUUUCAUAGGAUUUCUGUGAAGGAGAUUUCUUAAGUACCCACCCACCCAUUCCCGUAUUGCUCUGGAAUAUAAGUAUGCAUGCUCUUUGUUAGAACAUUCACAUUUUGGUUACAAAUCUAAAGUUGAAUAUCCAUUUCCCUUUUUGAUUGAUUACUUGUGCUAGUAGGUAGCAAAGGUUGGGAAUAAAGAAUCACCUCCAAAGAAACUUUUAUUUUGGUUUGAAAUACAAUCUUGGCUUUUCUGUAGGAGACUGAAUGGGCUAGAAAUCACAUCCUUCUAGAGACCACUGUUAACAUGAGUCUGUAUAUGCAGGGCUCCUGCUGUCCACCAGCAGUUGGGGAGUAGCUAUGCAGAGGGGAAAAGUCAGUUUGUAUUAAAGUUUGACUGGAUAUAACACAUGAAGUAAGCCCACAAAACUUUCAAGCACAUUUUCAAAACAAACCAUAACUAGCUGGAUUUAAACGUAAGGAACAUUUGGAAUAUGCGUUUUUGUACUAACCAACAACUCCCAAGUCUAUGUGCUUAUAUAAAUAUGUCCAUGUAAAGAAGCAUGAUACUUAUCCUUGUUAUUGUAUGUUAAGGUGAGACAAACAGCUUUUUGCUGUUGACUGUCAGAGUGUUUUAUUGAAAGCUUGUAGUCUACUAAAGAAAACAAGGUCAGUGCUGGGGUAAAUUUCUGGCAGAUUAUUUAAACUUCUGAGAGGGUGGAUGCCAUUUAGAAAUAAUAUGUUUUUUAUUAAAUAAAUCUGUAUAAUAACAUUAAGGUGCUAUUUCAAUGUUAAGAACAGACAAAGCCAAUCUUAGGUACUAAGAGAUGAGGGCAGAAGGUUGAGGUCAGGGCGAGGAGGGAGUUGGGUACUGGUUAGGACCAACACUAAGGCCAGGAAAAAAGGAAAAAUAAAAUUCCCCUUUAUUUCUGUAUUGGAGGAUGUUUUGUUAUUGUUUAAAUUCCUCUUUGCUUUACUAAAUUUUCAACAAAGUGAGGUAUGAAAUUUGAGUAUGUUUCUAAUGUGGAAUGAAAACAAUAGAUUUUCUUUGAUAGAUAUGACAAUAAGACCUUUUGUUUUUAAUAAUUCAGUGAGGAUUGAGAGUAGAAAUUAUAAAAGGUAAAAACAGGGAAUGUUGUUAUUAUGAUUCAGUAUGUCAUGACAUACAGACUUUGAAAUGUUAAACUAAGUUUAUAUCUAUAUUUUCUUAAAUUACCAUAGGCCAGCGAAGAAAUUACUGUAUUUUCAAUUGAUCUAAAAUUCACAAGCAUGGAAAAUCCCACUAAGGUAUAGAUAGAAUUUUUUUGUUUCCCUUAUUUGAUAAAAUUCUUAUCCCAAGAGAAAACAUUUAAAAUCUUAUUAAUAUUAUCCUCAUAGCACCUUUUUUAUAUUCAGUAGCUCUAAAUUAAUAAUAGUUUCAUAAUUUAGCUUAAAACAAUUAAUAUUAGUACUGUGAUACAAAAAGUGUUUUGGGUGUGUUUAAUUGAAACCAAAACUAACCAAUUUUGAGAGGCUUGUUAACUACAGUAAAUUGAUAUUUACAUCUCAAAAAGCAUCGGAAAUAUUAACAUAACUAUGAUUAUACCUUUUGGAUAUUUGUUCUCAGUAUGGUUCUGGUGGCCAGAGGGAAUUGCGGUGAGUUAGACACAAAAGCCCAGGGACACCUAGUGUAAAAAAUCUCAUAAUGACCGAGGGAAAAUAAUAAACAGUGGGAAUCUUUACCCUGACGAUCCACAGAAGAUCCAAAACAUGUUAUGUGAUGAUGACAUAAUGUGUGUGAGGUAUUUAGACAAUUGAAAAGCAAGAUGUUGUUGAUCUUAGAGUAUCUUCUGUUAGCAAACUGGUCUCAGAGAAAGGCAGAAAAGAAGAAAGG